GGGCAGCAUGACUGUAGCAAUACAGUUGAUGGCGACCGGCAAACGGGUGCGGAACACGUACACAACCCUUCCUUUUAGUGGAGAAUAGCCCAGGGAAACUUGGAUUAAUACUCCGUAACAUAUAGAAGUGGCAUCCCUUUUAUAUUAAAGCAGCAAUGCGCUAGAAGAUGGGUGUGCGGCUGAUUAGAUAGUUGGCGGGGUAACGGCCCACCAAGUCGACGAUCAGUAACUGGUGUGAGAGCACGACCAGUCACACGGGCACUGAGACACGGGCCCGACUCCUACGGGAGGCAGCAGUAAGGAAUAUUGGUCAAUGGACGCAAGUCUGAACCAGCCAUGCCGCGUGGAGGAUGAAGGUCCUCUGGAUUGUAAACUUCUUUUAUCUGGGAAGAAAUCCAUUUUUUCUAAAAUGGUUGACGGUACCAGAUGAAUAAGCACCGGCUAACUCCGUGCCAGCAGCCGCGGUAAUACGGAGGGUGCAAGCGUUAUCCGGAUUCACUGGGUUUAAAGGGUGCGUAGGUGGGCAAAUAAGUCAGUGGUGAAAUCUCCGGGCUUAACCCGGAAACUGCCAUUGAUACUAUUUGUCUUGAAUACUGUGGAGGUCAGCGGAAUAUGUCAUGUAGCGGUGAAAUGCUUAGAUAUGACAUAGAACACCAAUUGCGAAGGCAGCUGGCUACACAAAUAUUGACACUGAGGCACGAAAGCGUGGGGAUCAAACAGGAUUAGAUACCCUGGUAGUCCCACGCCCUAAACUAUGGAUACUCGACA
rnacentral:rRNA from 1 species